UACAUGGGGUGCAAACGUUGCUCGGAAUUAUUGGGCGUAAAGCGCGCGUAGGCGGUUACUUAAGUCGGAUGUGAAAGCCCUCGGCUUAACUGAGGAAGUGCACCCGAAACUGAGUAGCUAGAGUACGAAAGAGGGUCGCGGAAUUCCCGGUGUAGAGGUGAAAUUCGUAGAUAUUGGGAGGAACACCAGUGGCGAAGGCGGCUCACUGGACCGGUACUGACGCUGAUGCGCGAAAGCGUGGGGAGCAAACGGG
rnacentral:rRNA from 1 species